AUUGAACGCUGGCGGCAGGCCUAACACAUGCAAGUCGAACGAGUGGCGGACGGGUGAGUAAUGUCUGGGCAACUGCCUGAUGGAGGGGGAUAACUACUGGAAACGGUAGCUAAUACCGCAUACCAUCAGAUGUGCCCAGAUGGGAUUAGCUAGUAGGUGGGGUAACGGCUCACCUAGGCGACGAUCCCUAGCUGGUCUGAGAGGCUGACCGGCCACACGGGAACUGAGACACGGUCCAGACUCCUACGGGAGGAAGCAGUGGGGAAUAUUGCAAAAUGGGCGAAAGCCUGAUGGAGCCAUGCCGCGUGUGUGAAGAAGGCCUUCGGGUUGUAAAGUACUUUCAGCGGGGAGGCGUUACCCGAAGAAGAAGCAACGGCUAACUCCGUGCCAGCCGCCGCGGUAAUUC
rnacentral:rRNA from 1 species